rnacentral:misc_RNA from 1 species
CAGUCAGUGUGCUACGGCGACGCGCAGUGCACGUGAGUAUUGUGCUUACGCGCAUCUCGUUCGUUCACCCCAAGUUUACGAUCGAAACGUCAGCUGUCACAUUUUGACGUUUCGUAACGAGCCACGAGCGAUUGAGCGCGUGAAUCCGUAUCGCGUUUUCGAAAAAAAAAAAGUGCUGUACGGUGUUAUGGCGCGAGAUUUUUUUCGUACGAAUAAAUCAAGUAGCAUAAAAAUGUUUUGACGUUCCGCUCGGCGGAUCCGUGUUAGUGUUGUGAUGAUACCGAUAUCGAUUGUGUUGUUUUGUGUAACAUAGCAAUAGCUGGUGUUUCGGUGGGAUUGUUGUUAUGCUGUUAUCAUGACACAUUGAUGUCGUACGAAGCUGAUAUGUCUAUAAUUAGCGAGCUGCGAUGGCUGCAAGACGACGAGUUAUUUGCUUUAUCCUUACAAAACGGUGAGUGUCACACCUUUGCGGUAACUUACACACAUUUGCGGUAAGCUACACCGUUUAUGGCGACUAACAUCUGUCUUCGUGUUCAAUAUACUCGAUUAGACUAAG